rnacentral:rRNA from 1 species
AGUGAACGCUGGCGGUAUGCCUAACACAUGCAAGUCGAACGGCAGCACAGUAAGAGCUUGCUCUUACGGGUGGCGAGUGGCGGACGGGUGAGGAAUACAUCGGAAUCUACUUUUUCGUGGGUGAUAACGGAGGGAAACUUACGCUAAUACCUCAUACGACCUACGGGUGAAAUCAGGAGAUCUUCGGACCUUUCGCGAUUCAAUGAACCGAUGUCGGAUUAGCUAGUUGGCGGGGUAAAGUCCCACCAAGCCGACGGUCCGUAGCUGGUCUGAGAGGAUGGUGAGCCACACUGAAUGAGAGACACGGCACAGACCCAUACGGGAGGCAGGUGUGGGGACUACCGCAAUAUGGGAGAAAGUCUCAUACCGCCAUCCCGCGUGGGAGAAGAAGGCCUUCGGGUUGUAACGCCCUUUUGUUGGAAAAGAAAAGCAGCAGGUUACUACGCAGCUGUUCUGACGGUACACACAGAAUAAGAACCGGAUCAACUCG